UACGGUCACAUCAUGUUGAAACUGUUGCUCCCGUACGAUCACCGAAGUUAAGCAACGUCGAGCCUGGUUAGUACCUAGAUGUGUGACCGUUUGUGAAUACCAGGUGCUGAAA